rnacentral:tRNA from 1 species
UAUAAAAUAGUGUAGAAUGCACGAAGAUUUUUGGUUUCUUUGGUAUUGGUGUUGAGCCAUUUUUUAUAG